rnacentral:rRNA from 1 species
AUAUGGUCAAGUUACUAAGGGUGUAUGGAGGAUGUCUAGGCAUCGAGAGGCGAUGAAGGACGUGGUAGACUGCGAUAAGUCCGGGGCAGGUGUCAAACAACCGUUAAUCCCGGAAUUUCCGAAUAGGGAAACCGAACUUUGUUUAUACGAAGUUAUCACCGGCUGAAUGUAUAGGCCGGUUGAAGCCAACGCAGGGAACUGAAACAUCUAAGUACCUGUAGGAAAGGAAAUCAAAUAGAGACUCCGUCAGUAGCGGCGAGCGAAAGCGGACAAGCCCAAACCGACCUUCGGGUCGGGGUUGCGGACAUCGGUAAGGAGUUACAAAGACAUCACAAGCGGAAUCAGCUGGAAAGCUGGACCAGAGAGGGUGAAAGUCCCGUAUGCAAAAGUGAAUGUCCUCCGUUACUGCCGAUGCUCCAGAGUAGCACGGAUCUCGUGAAACUCCGUGCGAAGCAGGGGAGCCCAUUCUCCAAGGCUAAGUACUACUCGAUGACCGAUAGUGAAAUAGUAGCGCGAGCGAAAGAUGAAAAGUACCCCUAUUAGGGGAGUUAAAAGUACCUGAAACCAUACACUUACAAAGCUGUAGGAGGGCUAUGGUUACUCUUCGGAGUAACAAUGCCUGACUGCGUGCCUUUUGCAUAAU